AGGCAUGCGGGUUUAUUGUUAGAAUUAAUUAAUGGACUAUUAAUAAGAAAUGUAGAUAAUGUAUGCUGCAGAGCUUUGAAAAUCCUGAAACACACCCUAAGGGUUAUGGAAUUUACAUCUUUCAUAGCUUCUAUUAUUUCUUCACUAGUUUGCAGCUAUGCUCACACCUGGAAGGUGACAAAAGGUGGAGUUUACUUUCUCGCCCGUGUCAGCAGUCAUACGGUGGAAUCCAUGAAAAUUGGAUUUCCUUUUUCUGGUGCGUUUUACUCUUGAACUGUAUAACUGUGGAUAACUUUAAUACUGCCCAUUCUUUGUUUUCAGUUAUAUAAUUUCUAUUAGCCUUAAAAGUAACCGAUAUAUUUCUUUUUUAAGGUUUCAGUAUAAAACAUAAUCUGCAUCUUCAUUAUGAAACUCAUAUGCAAUUUUCUUCUAUCUCUAGAAGUUUAGAUUGAGGUUUAAAAGAACCAUUUUCAUUAUCAAGCUUCCCCAUAGUUUCCCACUUUCUUAUUCCAAAUAUUUUUAAAAAUCACUCCAAAUAUCAGAGCUUUUAGCAAUAUAAAGAAAGAUUUAUUUUCAAAAGUAGCAAAACUUGUUUGAAAAAAAUAUAUAUCUUUAAGUGAAUUACUUUAUAAAUGUGACUGUCAAAGUCAGCUAUCCUAUGAUCUACAUUUUACAACAUAUUGUACAAAAGAUACAUUGAUAGGCUCUUAUCUAUUUAUAUAUUUAUAAUUACAUAUUGCACUUGGACCAGCAAGGCUUGCAGAGUCAUUCACGGUAGAAGUUAAUAAAGUUAAAUAGAUGGGAAUCUUUGUAAGUACAAUUGAUCUCCUCUGGUUUGGAAACGAAUCUCCUCGUCGUUGUAAAGUGUUCUCGCGGGGUGGGACAGAGAGAGGAGCAUUGCGAGGGGGAAGCAGAGACAGAGAGCACUGAGGGCAGGGGUCGCCUUCCCGGGGCCCGCUCCCCCCGGGAGCGCGCCUUUCCCAGACUCGCACCUCCAAGGUCAGGACGCGGUGGUUCCACAUAAGCGGCUCGCGGUCACCACUUCUUUCAGGUCACUCUCGGGUUUCCCGGCCACCAUAAAGGGCCACGUCUGCGGGAAAGAAGAGGGUGGAGGAGAAAACACGAAUUAAAAUACAGGGAGUAUCAACCGCAUCCUGCCAACACCUCAUAAGACUCCAAGGCUUUACCGAGAUCUUCCACCUUCCCCGGGAUAAAUGAAGACAAGUGCUUCCUAGAAUCUUUAUGGUGAUGGAAAAGUGGAGAUUUAAAUGACCACAUCCACCCUAAGAUUUAUUGUGAGAAUGAUUGAUGUUAUAAACCAGGAAAAGGACUCUUCCCACAGCAGGGAUGACAGAAAUAUCAAGUUGAAGUUGCCUUUGUCUUCACAUACGAAUGACCCAGUACUACAACACAGAAAGUAUAAUAAUUUAAUCUGAGGUUCAAGACAGCAGUGAGAGAACACCCAGCAGGCCUGUUAAAAAUUUCUUCACUAAUUCCUCAACUAGUUUCCUUUGAUUUGCUCUCCCUUUUCUCAGUCUUGGUAAAACAUGAAAGUUAAAGUUAUUUUUAGACUAAAGAGCUAUGUGAAAAUGGGCAUUGGCCAAUACUUUGUGAAAUGUGUGUGUGUGUGUGUGUGUGUGUGUGUAGCUACUAAGAUAUCUGCAAAAUAACUACAAAUAAUUAAUUUGGGCUCUGGAAUGUGAUAAUUAUUAUAAAUCCAAACUAUGGCCUUACUGCAUACAUUAAGCUGUGAUUUUUCUUGUUGGAGCCAUUUUUUUUUCUUUUUGGCUCUGGGUCUCUGUUACACCUUAGUUAAUGGACUGCUCAGGCUGUCUGGGGAGAUAGUAAAAAUCAUAGUAAUAUGUACCACUGAAAAGAUUUCUGUUGUCUGUAUAUUUUUCAAUGUUGGAAACUUAAAAGUACCAAUUUCUGGAAGCAUGUAAAACUAGCCUCAUGUCAUAGGCUGGUUUUUAUGCUUAGCAAUUAUUUUUCUUCAUAGCCAUAUAAGAAAUAAUUAAGUCCCAUGUCCAUUUAUCUUGCAGUAAGACAUUUGGGCUGAGAAAGGCUAGUGGGCUGAUAAUAAAUUUUGGAGUGUUUCUAAAAUUCUGUAAAAGAUGGCUUCCAGUUUGGGAGUAAGAGUCGAAGAAUACUGUUGCUUAUGUAUCUUGAUAUGAAGUCUUGGAGAGAGAAUAUUCAUAUGAAAAAUACUUUUUUUCUUUUAAAAUUUUGUGUCUAUCCCUGCUAAUAAACACUUAGGGACAAAUGGGUGGGAGAAAUGACUUCUUGUUGGAUUCUACUGAGCAAGUCAUUUAAGCUGUAACUUAAGCUGUGCCAAAUUCUCCCAAAAUAUAAACUAUAUUCUGUGAGAAGACAAGCACUUUUGAGAAGCUGUAUUAACCCUUUUGGUAAGUUGACCAUUUCUGUUCCAAAGCACGAAAUAGAAAACUCGUGAUUUGAAAGUAUGAGAUCAUUUCUAAAAGUUCUUACCUGACUUUUAAGAAACAUUUAUGCCCCAGAGGCAUCUGGCCAAUUUGCUGCUCACUUCUAACAAUUUGUUUUGCAAGAGAGACUAUCUUUGAAAGAUUUUAGUGCUAAGGAAAUUUUAUCUCUGAAAGCUGUAAAAUGAAGAUUAGGCAUGGAAUGUACCCUUGAACUUAAAUCCUGGUUUAUCAGCUGAUACAUUUACAGGAAGUUCAAAUUUGAUUCAGUUGCACUUGGAUGGAAUAAUUUGCUUCCUUUUUUAUGAGAAGGAAAACAUCAUAGGCUUCCUUUGAACUGACUUCAUAUGCCAUUACAUAAUCUUUCUCAGGGGAAAAAUAUGCCUUUAAAUUUAAAUGUUAAUCCUUUUCUCUUACUCCUCAUCAUUUGGUCAGGAGACACAGGCUGGCAAAUUGGCAAAACUGCCCAUUCUCUUUUUUCUUCAUUUCUAAUUAGCACCUCCAGAUGUUUUAUUCAUUUUAUUUGAUGGUAACUACCACCACUUCAAAUAUUUGCCAACUUUCUAUGCAAAAAAAAGUUGACGCCUUUUUUUUUUCUUUUUUUGAUGGAGUCUUGCUCUGUCACCCAAGCUGGAGUGCAUCAGCACGAUCUAGGCUAACUGCAACCUCCGCCUCCCAGGUUCAAGAGAUUCUCAUGCCUCAGCCUCCCGAGUAGCUAGAAUUACAGGUGCCUGCCACCAUGCCUAUCUAAUUUUUGUAUUUUUAGUAGAGGUGGGGUUUCACCAUUUUGGCCAGGCUGGUUUCAAACUCCUGAUCUACCCACUUCAGACUCCCAAAGUGCUGGGAUUACAGGCAUGAGCCACCGUGCCCAGCCAGGUGCCUCUUUUUUGAUUUUACAUAAUUAUCUCCAUAUACUUUGUUUGCUGCUGAUUGACUGUUGUCUAUCUCCCGCUUAUAUGCCUAUCAAACUCUGACUUUGUUUCAUUAAAUUUUAACUUUAUUUAAUAAAGUGAGCAUUACCUCUCUUUGCUCAUUCUAAAUUAUAGUGGUGCUGUCCUGUUAUAUUUUGGCAGCCAAAGUGAAUAUGGCACUAGUGAGCUUGGUGGCUAGCUAAGAAGGUCAAUAACAGUGAUGCUGGGUAUUGCUGCUACCUUUACCUGGCACCAGCUGGGAGAUGGUAUAAAUCCUGGAUGGUAUAAAUCCAUUCAGUAAUUAGAAGUCUUCUGCGUGUUCACUAUACCUUAACCCCCUCUUUUCACAUUUAAUUCAGUGAAUUGUAGAUAAGAUGCCACAUUGCUAAGAUUUAAAGGUGGCAAAUAACAACAAUAAAGUCUAGGGAAAGAUUCUGCAUGGUUCUUUGAAUCCAGGAGUUAAUCUUGCAUUUCACAUGUUCCACAAUACAGCUUUGAAAGCAGCCAAGCCUAUGCACUUGAAAGUCAGAAUUUACCCUAAGGUGUAAGUGGGCCAGAGAAAACUCGGGCAGACAAAGAGAGUUAAAAAUUUUGCAAAGCCAGUUUAAUGUCCUCCUAAGUUUUCUAAUACUAGAAUAAUUUUAUUAGACCCUGUCAGUGUUAGGAAAGAGAGAGAAAAGGACUGAGCGACUCCUGAGUCAGGUACCAUGCAGGGACUUUUGCCUCCAUUCUCUCAUUUCAUGUAUUUUCUCUCCUUUCUGUUGGCACUACUAAAGAAAGAGCUGCCACAUGAAAUGAACAGUGUAUUAGAAAUGUAUGCCAGAGGCUUUCCCCUGUAAUAAAGUUUUAGAAAAACUG
ensembl:lncRNA TARID TCF21 antisense RNA inducing promoter demethylation